CCGGCCUUGUCUGAUCGCUCAAGGUUCUCCCGAGCUCUCUCCCGAUCAGGGCAUGCUUCCGAUAUUUUUUAGGUCGUAGCUUCACUUCCAACCUUCCGAGUCCCCCUGAUUUGAUCGGAUCUACUUGCCGGCGGCACGAAUGCAAGCAACAGUAGGGCAGGGACUGGUGGCAUAAUUCGCGUCACGAAUUUGAGCAAAAAUAUCGUGAUGUUCAUGGGCUAGCAGGGGCCAGCCAACACCAUCAGAAGACAGCGCAAGGCUAACGCAGAUGAGAAAUCAUCGUUUACCUAGCAGGCGCCCAUGCCGCCAAGCAAAACGGAAGGCAUGCGCUGGUUGAGUGCCAAGGCUAAGGUUAUAUCAAUUGGGAGAUAUAAUUUAGGCAUCACCGUCUAGUCUCCCUGUCCGCAUCAGGUACAUCCAGGCCAAAGCAGAUUUUUUUUUACUCCUUCAACAAUUUAGUGACUAAUGAGUGUACUGAACAUGUG
rnacentral:lncRNA from 1 species